rnacentral:rRNA from 1 species
UGACCGCUGGCGGCAUGCCUUACACAUGCAAGUCGACCGGUAACAGGUCUUCGGAUGCUGACGAGUGGCGAACGGGUGAGUAAUACAUCGGAACGUGCCCAGACGUGGGGGAUAACGAGGCGAAAGCUUUGCUAAUACCGCAUACGAUCUAAGGAUGAAAGCAGGGGACCGCAAGGCCUUGCGCGUUUGGAGCGGCCGAUGGCAGAUUAGGUAGUUGGUGGGAUAAAAGCUUACCAAGCCGACGAUCUGUAGCUGGUCUGAGAGGACGACCAGCCACACUGGGACUGAGACACGGCCCAGACUCCUACGGGAGGCAGCAGUGGGGAAUUUUGGACAAUGGGCGAAAGCCUGAUCCAGCAAUGCCGCGUGCAGGAUGAAGGCCUUCGGGUUGUAAACUGCUUUUGUACGGAACGAAAAGGCUCUGGCUAAUACCUGGGGCACAUGACGGUACCGUAAGAAUAAGCACCGGCUAACUACGU